CCUAGGCAGUCAAUCUUGAUAGAGCAAGGAGAGCUUAUGUAAAUGCACCAGCGUUAGGUAAAAUUUACACCUGAGUGUAUUUUUAGCGGUAAACCUCUCAAUCCUAAGAAAUAAACAAGGAUUAGAUACCCUUCUAUACUUAGGACCUCUUAAGCAGGGUAGUAACUAGUUAUGUUCUUCAAACCCAAAGGAUUUGGCGGUGUCUUAUCUAAUUAGAGGAACCUGUAUAGUAAUCGAAACUACACGAUAUAUCUCACCAAAGGUAAGGCUUGUAUACCGUCGUCUAGAAAGGUUUAGAAGAAUCUUUCUCUCGUGGGACACACUAAUGGCAGAUCAAGGUGCAGUUUACUUUGGGUAAUAUGGGUUACAAUCUAUAUCAAGCUGGAAGGUAAAUUUAUAAAGGGCCUGAAAUAGGAUUUAACAGUAAUAUAUUUAAGUUAGGAUAUAUAAAGUUGCCAUGAGACAUGCACAUAUCGCCCGUCACUCUCACACAAAU
rnacentral:rRNA from 1 species